GCCAGUAUGGCAUAGUGGUUUAAGCAUUGGACUGUGACUUUAGAGAUCAGGGUUCAUUUCCCUUCUUGAGCA